rnacentral:lncRNA from 1 species
GUUAGUGAAAUGAAGAGUUGCUACAGGGCAGAAAGCAAAUAAUAAGAGCUCUGUAAACCAAUUUGGUUACUUACUUUCCCUCCAACUCAGGUGCCAUUCACUUAAGCAUUCUUGUGAAGGAACAGCUAUCGGCUAAGUCGUACCAGGGAAAUGCCAAUACAAAAAUAUCAGUAUGUACCUUAAGUAUUGAAUGGAUGUCAAAUACUGGGCAUGAAGAUUGCUAAGCAAAUCUAAGGAACAACUCUCCAAAGGCCACAGAUAGAGGUCUUCAGACAGACUGGAAGUGCAUCAUUGGUGUUCCUGGGUCUCUAGGCUGCAGAUGGUACAUCAUGGAAAUUUUCUACCUCCAUAAUCAUAAAAUAAAUACUUCUCUGAGAGAGAGAACUCACAAAGACUGUAGUCUGACCAAUUUCAAUGCCAAGGUUAUAUUGGCAGUUUGUGACAUGGAGGAAUGAAAUUCUUGUCCAAAGGCGAUAUACAAGCUUCAUGUUCUUCUAUACUUGGAUAAAAAAGAAGAGGAAGAAGAAAAACCCACCUCUGAAUUCUCAUGUCAAGGCUAAACCAUUUACAAAGUACAGUAGUAAAUAUGCAGGUGGAAGUGAAAAAACAAUUCAAUGCAAGUUGCAAAGAAUGGAGGGUGCACAGAGUUAUUUGGAGAGCCAGGCUGAUGGAGGUGCCACCAUUUCCAGUACAUGAAAUUUAACAUCCAACCAGCAAGGUGGAAGGAAAGCAAAUAAACAUGAAGAAGGCCCAGAAGUGACAAGUGACAUUUCAGUUCACAUUUCAUUGGUGAGAACUGGUCACAUGGCUCCAUCCCGCUGCAAAGGGCCAGGAAGUAUAAUGUAGCUGUAUGCCCAGCAGGAGGAAGUAUUUUUGGUAAGCAUGCCAGAAAGACUGCAUUACAAAUCACAAUCUCUUUUAGGUAAAGCACUAUGCUAGGCACUAAGCAAACCAAAGUAAAUCAAACAUGGUU